rnacentral:ncRNA from 1 species
UAGGCUGACAGCAAGCUCAGCGACAUUCAGGCGGGUCACGAAAAGACAUUAACAGCUCUGUUGCCGGCGUUGGCAGGUGCCAACCUCAUCUACGGGC